AGUAAUGCUUAGGAAUCUGCCUAUUAGUGGGGGACAACAUUCCGAAAGGAAUGCUAAUACCGCAUACGCCCUACGGGGGAAAGCAGGGGAUCUUCGGACCUUGCGCUAAUAGAUGAGCCUAAGUCGGAUUAGCUAGUUGGUGGGGUAAAGGCCUACCAAGGCGACGAUCUGUAGCGGGUCUGAGAGGAUGAUCCGCCACACUGGGACUGAGACACGGCCCAGACUCCUACGGGAGGCAGCAGUGGGGAAUAUUGGACAAUGGGCGGAAGCCUGAUCCAGCCAUGCCGCGUGUGUGAAGAAGGCCUUUUGGUUGUAAAGCACUUUAAGCGAGGAGGAGGCUCUUAAGGUUAAUACCCUUGAUGAGUGGACGUUACUCGCAGAAUAAGCACCGGCUAACUCUGUGCCAGCAGCCGCGGUAAUACAGAGGGUGCGAGCGUUAAUCGGAUUUACUGGGCGUAAAGCGUGCGUAGGCGGCUGAUUAAGUCGGAUGUGAAAUCCCUGAGCUUAACUUAGGAAUUGCAUUCGAUACUGGUCAGCUAGAGUAUGGGAGAGGAUGGUAGAAUUCCAGGUGUAGCGGUGAAAUGCGUAGAGAUCUGGAGGAAUACCGAUGGCGAAGGCAGCCAUCUGGCCUAAUACUGACGCUGAGGUACGAAAGCAUGGGGAGCAAACAGGAUUAGAUACCCUGGUAGUCCAUGCCGUAAACGAUGUCUACUAGCCGUUGGGGCCUUUGAGGCUUUAGUGGCGCAGCUAACGCGAUAAGUAGACCGCCUGGGGAGUACGGUCGCAAGACUAAAACUCAAAUGAAUUGACGGGGGCCCGCACAAGCGGUGGAGCAUGUGGUUUAAUUCGAUGCAACGCGAAGAACCUUACCUGGUCUUGACAUAGUAAGAACUUUCCAGAGAUGGAUUGGUGCCUUCGGGAACUUACAUACAGGUGCUGCAUGGCUGUCGUCAGCUCGUGUCGUGAGAUGUUGGGUUAAGUCCCGCAACGAGCGCAACCCUUUUCCUUAUUUGCCACACUUCGGGUGGGAACUUUGGGAUACUGCCAGUGACAAACUGGAGGAAAGCGGGGACGACGUCCAGUCAUCAUGGCCCUUACGACCAGGGCUACACACGUGCUACAAUGGUCCGUACUAAGGGUUGCUACCUAGCG
rnacentral:rRNA from 1 species